AUGAUAAUGUUGGGUUUAAUAGUUGUGUCGAUAACUGGAUUUUGCUCAGUGUUUGAGGAGGAUGGGAGGCUAGAAUCUGCCAUUAGGGGUGCUCAAAAUUUUUGGUUUUUUCGGUUUUUUACCGGUACCGGCGGUACCGAUUUUUUCAGUACCGGGUUUUUUGGUAUUUUAACACUUUUCGGUACCGGUACCGAUAAUGACUUUUUUGAAUUCGGUAAAAAUCGAAAUACCGAAAUUUAAUAAUUUUAUAAUUAAUAGUUAAUGUUUUGUAAUUUUAUAUAUUAAAUAAUUUUUUUAUAUAUUAAUAAUAUCUAUAUAAUAGUAGUUUUAUUAAUUUUUUAUACAUAUUAAUAAUGUUUUGUAGUUUUAUUUUAUAUAUUAAUUAUUAUUAAUAGUUAAUGAUUUUUUAGUUUUUAAAAAAAUUAUUAAUAUAUAAAAAAAUUAUUUAAUUAUUAUUAAUAAUUAUAUAUAUUACCAUGCGAUAUAAUCAAAAACCGAACUGAAAAAUCGGUACCGAUUUUGUACCGAACCGGUAAUUCGGUUCUUGUUUUUCUGGUAAUUUUAAAUUGGUACCGGUUCGGUUUUUUACCGAUGAACACCCCUAUCUGCCAUUGAAACUUGAAUGGCACAAAUGUGGUGAUUAGUGGACUGGAAAUUCUAAAUCGGAGGAAGUUGGUAGGGACGGUUUCUUGCCGGAAAAUGUAUUUGCAAAGAGUUCUGAGAGAGAAGGUUGAGAUAGAGAAAAUCUGGAAAGAGUGACAAUUGUGUGUUGGAUGGGGUUUUUAUAUUGGUGUGGCACGAAUCCUUAAGGCGGCUAAUGAUGACGUGUGUGGUCCAUUUCUUGGGUAACAUGUUCUAUUUAAAAAGAUCGUUUGGAUUCCCCAUGCUUCACUUUAAGUCUUUAAUUAUAAACCUUUUAUAACAAGAGACUAAGGGCAAUGUUCGAGUAUAAUUUGUCGACCCCUAUGUGGGCUGAAGGCCUGGAUUGGGAAGAGUUUGUUGAGCCCAAUGGGCCGAAGCCGGUAAGGAGAUUGGUGGUGUUCGAGGUCAGGCGACCGAGUCCUUUAGGCCGGAGUCCGGACUAGUUUGGAGGGAUUCAGAUGACUUGAGCCCAAUGGGCCGAAGCCGGUAAUGGGAUUGAUGGUGAUUGGGGUCGGGCGACCAAGUCCUUUGGGUCGGAGUCCAUAUCAGUUUGGAGGGGUUCAGAUGACUUGGGCCUAUACAGAUGGUUAUUCUUCGUAUGGAGUUUGGUGUGAUAAGGAGUUUGAAUUGUUAAGGAUUCCAAUCCUAACCAUAUUUAAAUAUCAACUCCAAAGGUAGGUGUUAUGAUCAUAUCCAACUUUUGUCUCUUAAGGAGAUUGAAUUUAACCCAAACAUAGGUAAUUACCAUGUUUAGGAGUCAUAAUCCAAUUCAGAAGUUAGCUUUAAGAUGGUGAAAUUAGCUAUAAAUACAAGGCUUAACUUCAAUUAACAUGUAAUACACUUUUGACCACUAAGCAUUAAAGCCUUCAUUGUUAAACUUUGUUACAACAUGCAUUUAUAGGUUUGAGCGCGUGAAUUUGAUGAUUAUGCGAAACUUGGCGUUAACAAUAAAUAUUUUUUAAAAAAAACAGAGAAAGAAAUAAUUAAACUACGUGGUUUUGAGAGGUGGUGUAUGCAAUUUAUAGACAACCCAUCGCAAAACAAGACCCUGCACAAUAAUUAAAUAUAUGAAAAUUCGAAUCACGAUUAAUAUUUUUCAUCCUAUCAAACAAGCUCUUACAGUACAUGAAGUAAAAACAAAAAACAAAAAACAAAAAACAAAAAACAAAAAACAAAAAUCAAAAAUAAAAAAUGGAAAAGAAAAGAAAGCAGCAUAGUUAAUGGCUGUUGCCAGUUGGAUAGGACAUACCCUUCUAACCUUCUUCCUCUUAUAAUUUCUUCCACAUUUCAUUUUCCUUGUUUUUUUUUUUAAAGAAUCAUGUGAUAAAAUUUUAUAUAUGCGCUGUUCGUAGUUUGAAAUUCAGUGGCAGAUGAAGCCAGCCUCUGGAAUCGUUUGUGUUUUUCCUUCCCAACAGGGUUAACGAAUGAGAUCUGAAGCGAGGAGGAAAGUAAAAUCGGAUAAUCAGGUAGGCAGGCAGUUAGUUUUCGAAGAUUAACUUCUAUAUCAGUUCAGUCUGUAUCUGGGAUUGGAGGAGGAGAUGUUACAGAUAGAUAGAUUUUCUGGCGCUUUGCUAUUAUAAGCAAGGGGGGUUUGUAUUUAAAGCUCGCUCAACGUAUUUCAGGGGUUUCCGUCGUAGGAAUACUCAGCAGGGAAGUGAUUUCCAUAUUCUCAUAGACUCAGUCAGCUUUUCUACUUCUUUAUUAGCGGCUCCGUGGUUCCACUUUCUUUUCUGCAAGACAAUAACCGAAGAGAAGAAGAAGCAGCUGGACAUGAUUGACCAAUUUAUCAACUUCGUCAUUCGACCACCCAGGUUGGUAUACUCGUUCACUCUCACUCACUCAGUCUGUCGGUCGUUUUCACUCAUAAUCUGAAUCUAUAUCUAUGUUUCCUUCCCUCCACAUUACUCUCACCAUGUUGCUAGCUGUGAUCUAAUAAUCAAUAAAUAUUCAAGUUUUGUAAAGUUUGCUUUUAUUUUGUUUGCCUCCUCAAUGCCAAUUACACUGAAAGGCUCCAUAAAUCAGGGCAGGAAUUUAAUUUCUAGCUCUCCCUGUCUGUUGAGCAUUCAAACCUUACGUUCCCUGGUGUUACUAUCUUGUUAAAAUAGAAUCUGGAUUCCCACAAGCUCAGAGUCUAUUAUGUGAAGUUACAUAUUAAGUUUGAUAUCUUUUGUGCCCUCCCCUCACUCCCAUUCCUUUGUUGUGUGACCAAGUGUUAAGACUAGUUCUUCCCCCACUUCCAUUCCUCUGCUGUGUGGUCAGGUGGUAGGAUUAAUGCUGAACAAUGGUUAGAAUGGACUAGGGAGGAAAAGGAGAGAGAAAUAAGGGAAAAGAGGCAUUGAAGAAGAGUCGAAGGUUGAGUAGGGAGCUUGAUAGGUUGUGGUCUUUGGUGAACUAUGGGGGAGAUCUCAGGGAAGAGAGGAUGUCUUUCCACAUAUUCUUUAUGAAGGUUGUUAGUUGGAAUGUUAGGGGUUUGGGAAUAGGAGAAAGAGGAGAAUAAUUACGGAGGUGCUUUUGAAGGCCGCUCUGUAUGUGGUCUUCAUUCAAGAGUCUAAUGUUGAGGUGGUAGAUGGUAUAUUAGUUAGCAGUUUUUGGGACUUGAGGUUUAAAGAUUGGAUUUUUCUUGGGUUAAAUGCUUUUUUCUUCGCCCAACUAUACCAGAACUGUCAAAUACCUAAUUAAACUUUUUUUUCUAUCAAACAACUCCUUCAACUUUAAUUUUUUAACAAAAUGUCACAAAACCUGUUAAUCAUGUUGACAUUAAAUGUUUUGUCAUAUGUGAUUCCACGUAAGAGAGAGAAAACUAACUUGGAACUCUCGUGUGUGGCCAUGCUUAAUAGAAGAACUGCUGGAUGAGCUGCAUGAGUGCAAGCUAUUUUUCAAAACUUGAUGUAAGGACAUGCUAUCACCAAGUCGGAAUGAGUGCAAAAGACACAUAAAAAACAACUUUUAGGAGUCAUAUGGGCCAUUAUGAGUUCACAGUGAUGCCUUUGGGCUCACUAAUGUGCCAACCACAUUUCAAAGUUCUAUGAAUCAAGUAUUUACCUCAUCAUUGAUGAAGGCUGCCCAAUUGUUCUUUGAUGAUAUCCUAGGACUUGCAGUCUCAUCUUGUUGUUGCUACAAAUCUCAACUAUGAGGAAGCACCAAAUCUAUGGUAACCUAGUAAAUAUGAGUUUGCUAUUUUUGAGAUAGCUUGCUUGGGUUGGGACACAUCAUUUCAUGGAGGAAUCUCCAAGAUUGAUAGCAUGCUUAACUGACCCUUAUCCUCUACUCUUAAGGGAUUAAAUGGUUUCCUUGUCUUAUUGGUUAUACAACAAGUUUUGAAGUGGUAUUGUUAGAUUGCUAAACCUUUGACCAAGUUACUCCAAAAGGAUGGGUUAUAUUGGCAAGACCAAGCUACUAAAGCAUUUGAAGACCUUAAGAUGGCCAUGAUAGAGAACCCAAUAUUGGCUUUACUCAACUUUGAAAUGGAACUCAUUGUGGAAAAAAGAUGCUUAUACCUCUAGGAUUGGAGCAGUUUAAUCAAAGAAGGAAAGCCCUCGGAAUACUUUAGCAAGGCCUUAGGCCUGAAAACCCAAGCUAUAUUAGCUUAUGAAAAGGAGUUGAUGGCUGUGGUCACUACAGUUUAACCCCCUAUCUGAUGUGCAGAUAUUUCCUAAUCAAAACAGAUCACGACUUAAGUUUCUUCGAUUAGAAGGUGGUAAACCUGUAGACUACUUUCUCGUUGACAUUACUUGAGUGGCAUAAGCACAACAAAAGUAAGUACCCGGAUGUUUGUGUGAUAUGUAUGCAGACUAGCAAGGCUAGUUCUCAUUUGUUUCUUGAUGCAAUUUGGCAUAAAACUUGCGGUGUUCGUUAUUUGGGGUGUUUGGUGAAUGUUAGGUUUGUCAAUUGGGAGUUGAAGAGUCAUUUUUAAUACCAGGUUUCAGGGUUUUGGUAGGAAGAGGGAUGAUAAGCUGCAAAGGCGGUGUGGUUUUAUUUGCUUUUCUCUGCGACAUUUGGAUGUUGAGGAAUGCUUAAAAUUUUAGUGAGUGGUUCAUGCCCUUCAAUCUCGUUUCCCCUAAUAUUUAACAGUCAAGGAACGGGAUAGGAUUUGACUUUGUUGAAAGUGGUCUUUGUCAGAAUGUAUGAAUUGAAUUGGAACAAUGUUUUUUCUUGACUUCUUUGUGUUCUUCAAUGGUGAGUUCUUUUGUGGGAUUUUGUGUUCAGAUUUGCAGAGGGACUGGAGGGUGACCUUCUAUUCCUUUUUCCAAGGGUUUUGUACUUUUCCACUUAGUGUAGGAGAAUUUUUCAAAAUCUGCUUAUCAUUUUGUAGUUUGUCUUUUCUAAUAAAAUCUUUUUUUCCUACCAAAAAUAUACAAUAAAAAUCUCACCCUACUACUCCCGCUGUCCUCAAAAAGAUGUCAAGUUACUUGUUUUGCACAAAUUAAGAAAACUAAAGUACAUAAGAGCAUAAAAUAUGUAACUUUACUAAUGACCUUUGUCUUUUGUAAACCUAGUGGACCCCAUUUAAGUAUAUUUUGAUGAUAAACUAGUCUUUAUGCAUAUUUUAUAUUCGAAGACAUGCUUUUGAGGACGAAGGGAGUUUUCUUUUUUGUGAUGAGGAAUUGUUCCAAUCACAUACCACUUCAUAAAACAGGGUUUGCAUAGUAAACCUGGAUAUUUGAAGCCACCCACAAGUCAUGGAUAUCGGGUAAUCAUGUAUGUAUGCCAUUGAGAGUCCAUUGACCUCUCCUCCCUUGAGAGAAAUCUUAAAUACAACCUUUGACCAAGUGGACCACCCAUUUGGUUUUUAACAAAUUUAACCUACUAUUGAUUGUAUCUCUACUUUCUUGCAUAAUGUUGCUAUGUAAUCUUAUGUGAUGCAACCUUUGUAUGCUCUUAUAAUAAUUUCUCAGUUCUUUUCUUUUGUGUUGAUAAAAGAAGUUUUAUUAGAUGGAAGAUAGAGCAAAAAGGGAGGAGACAGAGUCCUCCAAAGAAAUAGAACUAGGAGCAUAAAGUAAACUAAAGAAACACUGCCCCCAAUCUCUAUGACGACUAAAAUAGGCUACUCCUCUAGCAUUCCUAUAGCCGAAUCCCAGAAUGAUACUAGAAAUGAAACCUUAUCCCAGAGAAGAGGAAGAGAGGUAUUUAUAUAAUUGAAAAUUCUAGCAAUCCUUUCGGUUUAUAUAUAAGUAAUAAUAUAGUAAAAGAAGAACACCUAAAAAGAAUCUUGGCAUCCUGGGCCUCCCAGAAGGGCUACAACCCCAAGAUCUUACCCGAAGAAACCUCUUCACGAAGUAAUGGAGUGUUGAAGCCUCAUACAUAAUCUUAAAAAGAAAAUUCUGUAACCUUGCGCCAUAGAACAAUGCAAAAAAAGAUACUCUUUACACUCUAAAUUGGUCUGCACACGACACACAUACCCGGACUCAUGCGUUUGUAUAGCCUUUGCCUUUGCAACAUCUCAUUAAUAUUUAGACUAUUGUGAACUGCUGAUCAAACAUAAUCCUUAAUUUUUGAGGGAACCUUGGCCUUCCAACUAUAAGAAGCUAGAGAAACUCAUUAGAUCGAAAAAUGACAUGCAAGAAAUUUACUGAUCUCCUAUUUUCAUCACGUUGUGCAAUCUACAUGCUUGAUCUUGAUACACAGGGCGGAAUAUAAUCCAGAUCAGUAUUUAUGGGAAAAAGAGUUUACUCUUGCCGGCAAAAAAUACAAACGACAAGACCUGGAGGCAAGUAAGGGUAUCAGUUACUAAAAACCAUCUUCUAUUGAUUUUCUUUAUACAUGGUAUAUGUUAAGUGCGCAUCUCCAUAAUUGUAUCUGUUUUCACUAUGUCUCUUAAUUUUUGCAGUUGAGAAAUGCAAGAGGCCAUGCCUUGCAGUGUAGUCAUUAUGUUCCUUCACCCUUCCCAGAUGACAUUCCUCUUCCUUGUGUAAUUUACUGCCACGGGAACAGGUAUCUCAUGGUCAAUGUUGCCUUUUUAUUUACUGGAAAAUUUGUUCUUCUGCUUGACUUUGGUCAUACUGCAAUCCUAUGUGUAAUUAUUUAAAAGUUGUCUCUCAUAUUAAUUUGGGAAGAAAUUAUAGCUCUUUAUUAUGAGUAUUUUGCCUACUAAGAAGUAGAAACUUUGCAAUUUCUCGUAUGGUCCGUGCAGUGGAUGUAGGGCAGAUGCAAAUGAGGCUGCAGUUAUUCUUCUUCCAUCAAAUAUAACUGUGUUUACUCUUGAUUUUUCCGGCUCAGGCUUAUCUGAUGGUGACUAUGUUAGCCUUGGUUGGCAUGAGGUAUGCCUUUUCCUUUAAGCUUUUCAUAAACUUCCUUGAAUUCUCAUGUAGGUAAAAAUUAUUGAGUUAUUUUAAUUGUAUGCCAGAAAGAAGACCUCAAGGUUGCAAUUUCUUAUCUGAGAAGCAACAACCAAAUAUCAUGCAUAGGUCUCUGGGGAAGGUCUAUGGGUGCUGUAACUAGGUACUCCUCUUGUAUUUAACCAACAUACUUCAGGGAUUUCUUUUUUAAGUCUGCACUCACAGAUUAUAGAAAUUCAAAUUAAUAAUUAAGUUUUGAAUAACCAUUAUUAUACAUUACAAGGUUCAACUAAUUGAAUUGUAGUAAGUAUUUGUUUGGAGACACUGGAUAAUUUACUCUGCUGUAUUAAAAUAUUUGAAGACUCGGAAUUUCAUUAAUAAUUUUAUUCUCUUAUUUUCUGCAGCCUGCUUUAUGGAGCAGAAGACCCGUCUAUUGCUGGAAUGGUGUUGGAUAGUACCUUCUCAAAUUUAUUUGACCUAAUGAUGGAACUUGUGGAUGUGUACAAAAUCAGGCUUCCUAAAUUUACGGUACUGGUGUCUUUAUAUAUGUUGAAUGUGUGUACUUCUGUAAGUGUGCAUGUGUGCGUAUGGCUGUCUGGUUAAAUAUCUACUAUGCAGGGUAUUGCAUACUGUCCGUAGAUACAAUGUCAGCAUGUAAAAACAUUUUACUUUAUUUUAAAUUGUUGUAUGCAUAUGUUACACUGUAGUUUCAGAUUUAUUUUUAGUUCUUUGACUUUCAGAGCUCCAUAAAUGGGGUCUGUCUCACACUAGCCCUGAGGUGUUGAAACUCUGUUCUAGAUACGAAAAUUUUAACCGAAAAUCUCUUCUUAUUUCUUCCUCUAGAUUUCCAUCUUAGGAAUGAGAUAUAAUGGGGUCUUAACAGAUGAAUUGCUAAUUGUAUGUAAGAGACGUCAUAUUUAUAAGUAAUUCCUCCGACUCUCUGAGUGAAUGGCACUGUUGCUGUUUCUUGUAUAAAAUGAAAGCCACUCUUUACUGUCAUUUGCCUUAUUAGGAAUGAAAGAAAAGGGGUUCAUAUCGGAUCAAUUUUUGAAUGUAUGUUGGAGACACAUAAUCAAAGACUUCUUUAUGCUUCUAAGAAUUAAGAAGUCCGUCCUAGUAAAGGUACACAAUUUUCUCUUCUAUGAUAUAUAUAUAUAUAUAUAUAUNNNNNNNNNNNNNNNNNNNNNNNNNNNNNNNNNNNNNNNNNNNNNNNNNNNNNNNNNNNNNNNNNNNNNNNNNNNNNNNNNNNNNNNNNNNNNNNNNNNNAUAUAUUAGGUCCGGACUCUCGGACCUGAUUAAAAUGCGGACUCUAAAUUUUUAUUUUUAUUUUGUUUUUUUAAAACAACUAAUUUUUUUUUUUAAUAUUUUAUGGAACUGAAAUUUUUCCAUAAUACAAUGUUUUGGGUGUGAUUUGGAUACCUAUACCAAAAAUGGUGGCAUAGACUGUACAUACAUGUUUUGUUAUACGUACCCAAAUCACGCCCAAAACACUGUAUUAUGAAAAAAAAUUCAAUUCCAUAAUUUUUUUUUUUUUUUCAGUUGUUUUUUUAAAAAAAAAGUAAAAAAAAAAAGAAGUCCGGAUUUUAGUCCAGUCCGGGAGUCCGGACCUAAUCCGGCCUCUAUAUAUAUAUAUAUGUAUAUAUAACAAAAUACAACUGAUUUUGAAUUUCCCGCUCACCCUAAUAAACCAUGUGGGCCGUCCAAAGUUUGGGAUAAAUUUCACCUUCCAUGUAGUGCCGGAGGCACGGGACACAACUAGUAUAUAUAUAUAUUAUGUUUGCAUAUUAUUACAAUUUAGAAUUCACACCAGUCUACCUCUUUCAUCCCAAACAAAUAGACCAUUCAUUGCUCCGUUGAUGAGUAUAUUAUCAUUGUUCCUGUAAUCCACCAACCAAAGGUUGUUGUUUUACUAUUGCCUACUAUAUAAUGUGUGCACUUGCAGAAAUUGACUAAUUAUCAUGAUAUGACAUGCAUAGGCAUCGGUAUAUCAGGUCCAUCCGUCCAUGUCACACUUGCUGCUGUGUCAGUAGGUUUGAUUGACAAAUAGAGAAGAAAUUUAGCCUUGUGAAGCUUAUGUAGUGUUUGAAUAACGUUUGAUGAUGGUAUGUAUUCCCCUAAUCAUAUAGUGCGACAUCUUUUUCCUUAAUUCAGGUUAAGGUGGCGGUACAAUACAUGCGACGGGUAAUUCAGAAGAAGGCGAAAUUUGAUAUUAUGGACCUCAAGUGUGUACAGGUUUGUCUUAUUCAGUGAGAUUCUUGAAACUGUUGAGUUUGGUCCUUCUAUUUGAUGUUUUAAUGGUGAAGGUGUAUAGGCAUAUUAUAUUAAUUUGUGAACCUGAUUAGUCAAUUGAAUAUUUAACCAUGUAAUCAGGCCGAAUAUAUACUACCUUCUUUUGUGUCUUAACUAGCAUGAUGUGCUGAUAUCUGUAAUUAAUACACCCAAAACCUUUAUUCCUGCUUUAUUUGGACAUGCUAACGAUGACAAGUUUAUUAAACCCAGCCACUCUGACAUCAUCUUCAAAUCCUAUGCGGUAUUGAGUCUAUCCAAAUAUCUUAUGGUUAUAUUACAAGUAAUACCAUGGGAAGUUGUUGAAAAUGUUUCAAAUUUUGUACAGGGUGAUAAAAAUAUCAUAAAAUUUGAUGGUGAUCACAACACCUCUAGACCACAGUUCUAUUAUGAUUCGGUAUCAAUAUUCUUCUACAAUGUCCUUCACCCUCCCCAACUUUCAUCUGUUUACUCGAGUAAAGUUGAGAAAUAUUAUGAUUUGGGGGGCCUGAAAGUUGGUGCUGGUAUGGAUGAGGUGAUUUCUGCUGCAAUUUUUACGUUUUCAGAACAGUCAUUAAAAAGCUCAAGAAAAAGUAACCCCGAAGAAGGGGCAAUCUAGGUUCCUAAGCUUACAUCAGUAUCUGGAAUGACUCUAGCUUAGAGUUGGUCUACUUAUCUGUUUUAGUCAGUCUUACUUUAUUUACGUACAUAAUUGUCAAAUCCUGAACUAUAUUGUAUGCUGAAAAUUUCUGUAUCGUGAUACAAAAAAGAAAUGAAAAUUUGAUAAUAUAUAUCUCAAUAUAUAGGAAAUACAAUUUAUUGGACAAUAAAGCAUGUUAGCUUGAUUAAAAUGUAAAACCAGUCAAGUAAAUAUUAUUAUGACCUAGAUAAAAAGUAGUCAAAAUGCUCUAAAUCCGAGUAUUUAUUAAUAUUCAGUAUUAUAUAAGUAAUAUUUGUAAGUAACGAGAGAAAACGAAAAUUUACCUUCACCUUUUAACUAUAAAACCCAGAGAAUGCCCCACGGUAAGUGGAGAGAAAAAGUUUCAUUCUAAAACUAUGUAUUUAUGUUAUUUUGAGUGUGAAAAGUGGCAUGAGAAUAAUAAAGCCACAUUUUUCAGAAGAAGAUAAGAAACUCUAGAAAGCCUUUUAAGGCUCAUUAACCUAUAUGGAAUGUGUGAACACUAAAAAACUUCUUAUAUUGAAAUGGUAAAAGACUUCAAAGUCUUGUUUUCACCCUUUUGGAUCUCCAUAAAUAAUUUCGCGAGUCUAUUUCUAACUUCAAAAGUGUAUCGUUAAUUGUAUCAUAUCGUAGCUGACAUGUGACACGAUACCAUUUUUGAUACCAUAUCGAAUUACCUCCUAAUUGUAUUGUACGAUAUUGCGUAUCAUGCGAUUUUUACACUCUUUGGACAUGCAUCAGUACAUUAAUGUAGUUGAAGGGUCAUGUAUUUUAUACAUAAAUGUGGGGACCUCAUGUGUAUUUACUAUUUAUGCAUUCAUAGAUGAACAGGAGGAGAAUUUCAGACUAGGAUAGAUAAAUGAACUUGAGGAAUCCUCACUUGAAAAGAGGGAGUCACCUUUCUAAUUGUCGACUUUGGGCCACUGGUGUAGAACAAAUAGAUGAAGAGAGAGAGAGAGAGAGAGAUCAAUAAUCAAUCAUCAAAACAAAACAUUCCAAUACAUAAGUAAGCCUUUAUAUAUACAACCAAGGUACUAAAGUCUAAAAUAAGAAGCUAUUGCAAUUCCUAAAUAACAUAAAUAAAACCCUAAUAAUCAAAUAAAAUCUGCAAGGGGCCUGAGCUUUGGAAUUAGGACUAUGUCGCCUAGAUAGAUGUAUCUAAAUCCUCAUAAUUUCUUUCCUGCUGAAAGGAACUUUCCUCUGAAAAGUGAAAGCUGAGAUACUGCUCCAAAUUAAAGGCUAGGGGUUUAGAUGGUGGAACUCACCCUCGAUCCAUGUAGCUUCGAAGUCUGGACGAUCCUUUCAUCUGAUAUAAAGCACUGGUACCUCCAUGUUGCGAAGCAAUGAUCUCAUCAGCAAGAAAAUCAUCAAUCUGAUUGGUGGCAAGUACAAUAGAGUCAUAGACAAAUGAAUAGCCAGGCAUCUUACCUAAGUGCUAGCAGCAUAGUGAGCUCCUCAAAUCUAGACAUGUAAUAUGUUACUCUAGUAGUCUGUCAUGCAUUUAUACAUAAAUGUUGGGAUAUCAUGUUUAUUUUUUACUUUAUAGAUGAAAAGGAGAAGAAAACUGCAGAAUAGGAUAUAUAAUUCAGGUAUUAAACUUGAGUAAUUCUCAAUUGAAGGGAGGGACUCAAUUCACCUCUCCAACUAUCUAUUACUUAUUAUAAUAGCACAACCAACGUUUUAUUGUAUGAGUUAACCGGGAUGUUUUGGUUGGUCAUGAGUGAGUUAACUCAUGAAACUAUACUUAAAUUUGAUUGGUUGAUAUUUUUACUUUUAUUUUGUUUGUUUUAUCUCAUAAGAUAUAUACGAGAAUCGAUAAAUCUCCUAUGUUUUAGGCAACUCAGUUAUAAGAUAUAUAAUAGAAUGACAAAACUAAUGAAAUACCCACCGUAGUUGACAGACUUUAUUGAUUACACAAUUGAACUUUUAAUUUUUCAAAUAACCCAUUAAACUAAUUAUUAUUUUGAAAUUGGGUCAUUCCGUUAAAAAAAAUAAAAGGACGUUAAUUUUUUAUCGACAAAACUAAUGAAUUACUCACUUUAGUUGGCAUGUUUUACUAAUUACACCAUUGAACUUUUAAUUUUUCAAACUACCCCAUUAAACCAAGUAAUAUUUUGAUAUUGGGUCAUUCUGUUACUGACCUCACGAGUGCUAAAUCUUUUCAAUUUUUAUCCUACGUGGAUGUAAAAAAGAAAAUAUACAAAUUUAAUUUAUUCUCUCUAUUCCUCUCAUCUCUCUUCUCUCCCUUCUUCCAAAUCAAAUAGAUUUGUGCAUUUUCUUUCUUUAAAAUCUAUGAAAAUUCCUAGAUCUGAAUACCCAAAACAUUGAAUUGAGCUUCAAAGUUCAGCAUUAGAUAUAACAAUAGAGUCUGAAUACCCAACAAUAACAACAGAUGAAGUAAAUUGUGUUGCAGUAGGUUUCUUCCCUCUCACCUCCAACUAUCAGCAGCCUUAUAUCUCCGAAAUCCUUUCAUUCGCUCUCGAUCGCCUCCACAAGGUCCACUCCUUCCCCAAUCUCUCCAUAUAUCUAUGUGCGUGUAUAUAUAUACAUGUGGUAGUAAUAUUUAGUUAAAUUGAUUUUGUUGGGAUUGCAUUUAUGAUUUGAUAGGAGCCUGAGUUUUUACGGAUGGAUGCGAAGAUAAUUUAGAGGUAGAUGCAGAAUGUUGUUGCCAAUUACCGCGUUUUCAUUUCUACUGUUGAUGCAUUGCUUUUCAGCCAUGAGGAAGUUUUUUCUAUUGAUAAACAUCUGAGAUUAGAGUACCCAAAAUAUUUUUAUUUUUUCACUUUCACUUUCAAGUUUUUAAUUAUUUUUUGCCACAAGUAAUAUUUUUUAUUUUUGAAUUUCUUUUCCAGAACCACAUAGAUAAAAAAUUAAUUUCUACUUCAUUUUUUUAACCGAAUGACUCAAUUUCAAAAUAUUACUUAGUUUAAUGGGGUAAUUUGAAAAUGUUGGGAAGCUUUGAUGAAGUAAACAAAAACCUCAAUGAUAUUCUUGAUGAAUAACCAUAUUACCUUAUUGAACAAACUUGGCUAUAUAUAUAGCCUUACAAUACUUAACAGAACAGCUAAAAUAAAGUUCACGUUUAGCUAAACAUCAGCCAACGUGGUUAGUGUAAACCGACCACUAACAAUCUCAACUAAUCUUAAAGACUAGGAAUUUAUUUAACAGAAGCAAGACUCAGUAAACACCUAAAAAACAAGUAAUAAUUAUCCUUUCAAUCCCUCCCCUAAACUAACUAUCAAUCAUAGUUAGUUUAGUUCAGCUGGCUUGCAAAUCCCCAUCUGAAUUCUAAGCUUCAGGAAGGCAUCCAACUUCAACGACUUUGUCAUCACAUCUGCAGUUUGCUCCUCUGUUCCACAGUGUAACAACUCGGUGGUUCCAUCCUUAGCAAGCUUCUUCAAGAAAUGGAACCGUACAUCAAUAUGUUUGCUCAUCCCAUGCUAACGGGAUUCUUUGACAAUUUGAUGGUGGAGUUGUUGUCACACAUGACUAUGGUGCCUUUCUUUUGUGCAUGUCCCAGCUGCUUCAAAACUCUUCUCAUCCACACUGCUUGACUUGCACACCAAGCUGCUGCCACAAACUCUGCUUCUGUGGUUGAUAGUGUAACAAUUGGCUGUUUCUUUGAAAGCUAAGAUACUGCUCCAGAGCUUAACAGAAAAACAUAGCCGGAAGUGCUUUUCAGAUCAUCUAAGUCACCAGCAUAGUCACUAUUUGUGUAGGCAAUCAAGUCAUCUGAACUCCCUUUCUUGUAUAUGAUUCCAUAAUCAAAAGUACCCUUCAAGUACCUUAAUAUCCUUUUGGCAACUUGUAAAUGAAUCUUUGUAGGUUUAGCCAUGAACCUGCUGAUCAAACUUACAGCGUACAUUAUGUCUGGACGAGUUGCCGUGAGAUACAUGAGACUCCCUACAAUUUGCUUGUAAUAUGACUCAUUAAUUGCAACUCCAUCUUCAUCCUUGCUCAACUUGCAACCUGGAACAAUUGGACUAUUGACUGCAUGACUGUCCAACAUUCCAAAUCGCUCCAAAACCUCAUGUGCAUAUUUCUUUUGGCAUAUGAAGAUACCAUCAGGCUGUUGGGAUACUUCAAUGCCGAGAAAGAACUUCAUUUUUCCCAGAUCAGUCAUUUCAAAAGCUUGCAUCAUAGAACACUUGAAACUGCUCGCCAUCUCUUCAUCAUCGCCAGUAUAGAUUAGAUCAUCAACAUAAACACUUACAAUAAGUAUUUUACCUUUGCUACUUUUUGUGGAGAGAGUUUGCUCAUUCGGACAUCUUUCGAAACCCUCACUGACAAAGUAAGUUUCGAUGCGGCUGAACCAAGCUUGUGGAGCUUGCUUUAAGUCGUAUAGAGCCUUGUGUAACUUGUAGACCUUGUCCUCACUUCCUUUGACCUCAUAUAACCCUUUGGCUGCUCGACGUACACAUCUUCAUUAAGUUCACCAUGGAGGAAGGCUGAUUUCACAUCUAACUGGAAUAUUUUCCAGUUUCUUUGAGCCGCAAGAGCCACCACCAUCCUCACUGUCUCCAUUCUUGCCACUGGAGCAUAGACCUCCCAUGUUUGUGCGUGUAUCCCUUGGCCACCAAGCGUGCUUUGUGUUUCUCAAGCUCUCCAUGCUCAUUAUACUUGGUUUUAUAGAUCCAUUUCACCCCAACUUUCUUAGCUCCAACAGGCAGCGUAACCAAUGUCCAUGUCUUGUUUUUCUGUAUGGACUUAAUUUCAUUGUCCAUUGCCAAUCUCCAGCUUGCAUUCCUCACUGCUUCUUCAUAAUACAAUGGAUCACUUGACACCAUUAGUGCUAUAUUACUCUCAUCUUCAGAUAACUUGAGGCCCUCCCCACUAACAUAAUCCAUCAUCCAUCCGGGACGAUUUCCCACUCUCUUACCAAUAAUACUACCUCCACUAUCCCCAUUAUUUGGAGAUUCAUUUCCUCUAUUACUGCUGCCAAUCUCAACUAUAUUUUCACCAUUAUUUCCAGCCCCAUUCUCACCAUUAUUAUCACCUACUUCUGCAUCAUAUUCAUCUUCCCACUCUAAAUUUAUCAAAAUUUGUUCUUCAUAACUCACACCCCAAUCCCAUUGUCUAUCCUCUUCAAAUAUCACAUCCCUACUCACCACCACCCUUUUAGUGAUAGGAUUAUACGGUCAAUAUCCCUUAGAUUCCUCACUAACACCCAAAAAUACACAAACAGAGCUUCUAUUGUCAAGUUUAGUCCUCCGUACCUUUGGCACAUGAACAUGUGCUACGCAACCAAAAACCCGAAAAUGAUCAAUAGAAGGCUUCGUUCCGCUCCACGCUUCUUCAGGUGUGAUGUCUUUGACUGCCAAGGUUGGACAUCUGUUCAACAAAUAAUUGCUCCAAUUUACUGUCUCUCCCCAAAAUGGUUUUGGAAUUCCCUUCUCUGAGAGCAUAGCACGAACCAUGUUCAUUACAGUUCUAUUCUUUCGUUCUGCCACACCAUUUUGUUGAGGGGUGUAGGCAGUUGUCAGUUGCCUUUUAAUGCCAUUCUCCAUACAGAAGUUGUUGAAUUCAAUUGAGGUGAACUCGCCUCCCCUAUCUGUACGCAGACACAUGGGCAAACAUGUCUCAUUCUCCAUUUUGUUAAAACAUUUGAAAUGACUCAAUGAUUCUGACUUCUCACUCAGAAAAUAUAUCCAUGAUUUUCUACUGUAGUCAUCUAUGAAACACAAAAAGUACCUUUUGUUGCUGUUGGACAUGGGAGUGAUUGGUCCGCAGAUGUCUGCACGAAUGAGACCCAAUAUUUGACCUGCUCUCCAAGAACUCUUUUGGGUAUAGGAUCACGGUGAUGCUUGCCAACAAUGCUAUCUUCGCACAACUCAUCCGAGGCAGUGAACUCAGGAAGGCCACGCACCAUUUUCUUGCGCUGUAAGGUUCUCAAACCCUUGUAGCUUAAGUGUCUAAAUCUCCGGUGCCAAAGCUGAGACAGAUUCUAUGAGCUUGUGUGAAGACACUCUUCAUGUUGUUGUUGAGACAUCGUUGUGAUUGGGCAAACAAGAUGAACAUCCUUUUUGUGCUCAUGUCAGCCUGAAUAAUCAAGCCCUUAUAAGGAUGAAAGAUCUUCCAUACCCCUUCCUCAAUCAGAAUUGCCAAGCCUUUCUCUUGAAGCUGCCCUAUGCUCAGGAGAUUAUUUUUUAACUAUGGCACAUAGUAAACUUCAGUAAUAAUGUGGUUAACACCAUUAAUUAGAAGCUUUACAUCACCUUUUCCUGUUACAUCCAUCAUGGUGUUGUUGCCCAGCUUGACUGAAUGCUUGAAGUUCUCGUCCAGCCUUGAGAACAUGGCUCGAUCUCCACACGUGAUUGGAGCACCCCGAGUCAAGAAACCAAGCACAUUUUCUUUUGGCCUCAUGCAGCUCUACAUAGGACAUCAACAUCUCAUCUUCUUCUUCAAGCUCAGCUCCUUAUUCCAACUUGGGCAUUCAUAUUGAAAGUGCCCUAGUUGAUGGCAUUUGAAACACUCCACCGUGACCUUUGUAAAAGCUUGUCGGCCUCUGCCUCUUCCCCUACCCCUGAAGCUGCUUUUUCCUCGGCCUCUGCCACUGUUCCUCUCUUCAUAGGUAGCUUUAAGAGCUUGCUCAUCAUUGUUGUGUCUAUUGAAUUUCUGCUCAUGAACUAUUAAUGAACUCUGUAAUUCAUCUAUAGACAUGACAUCAAUAUCUUUGGACUCUUCAAUGGCACAAACAAUAUAAUUGAACUUAUCUGUCAAAGCUCUCAAAAUCUUUUCAACCACAGUCACAUCAGUAUCACAUCUCCAUACACACGCAUCUUAUUUGCCACUGCCAUAACCCGAGAAAAGUAAACAGUAAUGGUUUCACCUGAUUUUAUCUCUAGAGUUUCAAAGUCUCUGCGAAGACCUUGAAGAGUCGACCUCUUCACUCUUGUGUUCCCUUCGUACUUCCUUUUCAUAGCAUCCCAAAUGUCCUUCGCAGUGUCUUUCUUCAAGAUGGUCUCUAUGAUUGACCUAUCUAUUGCUUGAAAUAGAUAAUUCUUGACCCUCAAAUCCUUCAGCUGCAAUUCCUCAUAACUUGUCUGCUGCGCCUUUGUCAAUAUUGUUUCUGCUGGUCGCACGCACCCUGUCUCCACAAGAUCCCAAUAUUGUUUCGAUCUCAAGAAGUUUUCCAUCAGCAUAGCCCAGUGGUCAUAAUGACCAUUGAAGAUUGGAAUUGAGGGUUGUGCGAAUUUCACUUCUUCCGACAUUUGUCUCUGUUUUGGUGGUCACUCAAAGGUGUUGCCCUUUUUUUUUCUUCUCUCUCUCAGGCCCAGUGGUGGCUCUGAUACCAAAAUGUUGGGAAGCUUUGAUGAAGUAAACAAAAACCUCAAUGAUAUUCUGGAUGAAUAACCAUAUUACCUUACAGUACUUAACAGAACAACUAAAAUAAAGUGCACGUUUAGCUAAACAUCAGCCAACGUGGUUGGUGUAAACUGACCGCUAACAGUCUCGACUAAUCCUAAAGACUAGGAAUUUAUUUAACAAAAGCAAGACUCAGUAAACACCUAAAAAACAAGUAAUAAUUAUCCUUUUAGAAAAAUUAAAAGUUAAUUAGUAAAACGUGUCAACUACAGUGGGUAAUUCAUUAGUUUUGUCGAUAAAAAAUUAACGUCCGUUUAUUUUUUUUUAACUGAAUGACCUAAUUUCAAAAUAAUAAUUAGUAGUGGGGUAAUUUGAAAAAUUAAAAGUUUAAUGGUGUAAUCAGUAAAACGUGCCAACUAUAAUGGGUAUUUCAUUAGUUUUGCCAUUAUAGAAUUUUUAGUAUAUCCAUAAAUUCUCUCUUUGUAGGCAACUUGAAAUGUAUUACACGUUUUUCAAAAAAAGAAAUGUAUUACACAUUCAUUUAAAAUUAUUUUUUUAAUUUAUUAUUUUUUUGACGAAGUUGUUUUUAUUAAAUACUAAAAAUGAAUAUAAUACCAUUGUUGGGUUAGAUAAUAUGUCACUUUAUAUAAAGUUUCUAACUAAUACUCAUGUUAGAGAUUCAAAUAGAUGUAUUGAAUAUUGUUUUUAUGUUAUUACAAAGAGUACUAAAGCUUUGUAUAUAGGCUACUAGAUGUGUAGUAUCCAAGUAUGUGUGGGCACCAAGCGUACUUGGUCACUAAGUUCUAAUAACAAUAAUAUACUCUAAUAAAAUCAUGAUAAUCUUAAUUAUAAGUACAUUUUUUUUUUUAGUUCGAUACAGAUAGGAUACAUCAUACAUCUCUAUUUUAGAAAUAUUAAAUGAACCAAGGAUCUUAAUUUGUCAUUAUUUUUUCACUACCAUUUAUAACAUCACACUACCAUUACUUAACUAAUAUUAAGGGUAUAUAUAAAAAGGGGAAUAUGGAGGUACACAGCCGUGUAACUUUUAAAGUUACACGGCUGUGUACGAUUUGUUAAUUCACUCUACGAUCAUGGACUACUCUACGAUCGUAGAGUGAAUUCAUAGAGUGAAAUCACUCUACGAUCGUAGACCGUGUAAUUUUAAAAGUUACACGGCUGUGUACCUCCAUUUUACCAUAUAAAAAUAUAUCAUAAUUCUAAAUGAAAUACAAUUAUAAAUCCUGUUUUGACACGACACCGAGCUAGUAAGGCUUUAUAUAGCAAAAGAACACAAAUAUUUUAAGGUAUUGAUAUAUUUAAGGGCGUUUUAAGAAUUACAAAUAUUGUUGUACUUGUUUAACGUUUGGAUUCAAUGUAUGUCUUCAUGAUAUAGAUUCAAUGUUGGAAUUUUAGUAGCUCUCAAGUGAAUCUUGCGCUGCAUCAUCCAAGACCCCAUUGUGUUCCCAUGAUGCAGUAUUUCUCAGUUCAGCACCUAGGCAGACAGAUUAAAAUGAUAUACAAGGGUUUUAGGUUUGCCUUUUAGUUUGGAAAGAAAAGAUUUAGAGUUGUAGCUGCAGUUUAGAAUAGCAGAUCUGGUUGUUUCUCUAAAGAACGGGAAAGAGAAAACAAAUAAAGCAAACAAAAGAAAAAUCCUUGGCUCGCACCUAGGUUUUUUAGUCCUGAGAAAUAAGGCUCUUAAGCCUUGCAACCAAUGAAGAUUUAUCACACAUCUUCUACAUUAUGAUAGAGAUUUUUAUUAAUUUCUCUCUGCCUUCAAAUAGCUCAGAAAACUUUGAGGCUUUAACUACUUAUUGCAUGUCCCAGCAUUCAUCUAUCAUUUCUUGACCCUUCAAAUUAAUUCAUCUAGCAGUGCAUACACCAAAGGGUGUGGACUGCCGCAAAUAAGAAAGACCUUGAACUAAUACAAUGAAAAGCAAUGCUUAGAUAGAUUUAAACGGAUUAGAAGACAAUCUAUAACCUAGAGUAUUUCCAGAUACCGAUGUUAGCUUGGGAAUCUGGCUUGCCCCUUCUUUAAGCUUUAUAUUCCUUUAGCCUUUAAUGGACUGCAUCAACACUCUAUUUUCCUGUUCUGUUCAACAAUCUCUUAAUAGUUCUCCUUGCGUUAAGCUUGCUCCUAUGAGUGCAUUAUUAAUUAUCCAAAAUUAUACAAUGAGCUUAUAUGUUAAAGCUAAUAUAAGGCUAUAAUAUGCUCAAAAGGUUUGCCAAUUUGAUUGUAAAGCAGUUUGACCUGUUUGAAGACUUGUAUAGUUUCAUGUAAUAACAUAUGCCAUUCAUCAUUGUAUGACUAUCUUAAUAUGUCGAUAGCAAGCUGCAUCUCAUUAUCUUCAAUUAGUAAAAUUGGUUUUUAAAAAAUUGCGUAAUUCGAAAAAUUUCUUUGUUGUUUUGCCUAUAAUUGCACAAAUAUUAAUAUUCUAACUUAGUAUUGGAUGCUCAAACAUGACAUUUGUCCUAAAUUUUUUAUAAAACAACCAACUUGUUGAUUCAACUAAAAUUUUUCUAUAAAAAUUAGGUUUAUUUCAUUUAGAUUCUAAGAGAAUUCCUAACUAUAAGAACUCAUAUAAAGAUACCCUAGCGUACCUCGUUUUAGCUAUGUAGCGUACCACGUAGUAACGAAACGAACCACGUUCAAGGUAACAUUGAAUUAGAGCAUUGGUGUUCACAAUUCUCAGUUCCUGAUUAGUGAUUACAACUACGUGGUGGGUCUGCAAACAUGAGAUUGGAACUGCUAUUUUUAGUUUUGAUUCCAUCAUGUCCACUCUUUUAAUGUUGGGUUUCUUUUUUAGAUGUUCAUAUGAGAUUUAAGCUGCAUUUGUUUGUAGAGUCUGUUGUACGAGAUAAUAUCUGGCCUUCAAACCAUGGGUACUGAUGUGGCAAGCUCAUCAUCUGCCCCACCUAGCCAUUCAACUGCAAAAUCAUCUGUUGGUGAUUUACUUUCUGAUAUCACUCCAGUUGCUAGUGUAAGUCCAAGAAUCUUUUCUCUUGGUUUGUGCCCUAUUUUUCAAAAUUUUCUUUCCAAAUAUAGGUGUAUUUUCUAAUUUCUUUUUAACGAAGCAGAAUACUAUGGUCAAUGAAGAUAAUAAUGCACCUAGCAGAAACAAUCCAUCACAGUUGCAGGUGAGCUGGAUUAUAUACGCGUCAAACCUUAACCAUGAAGUUUUUAUAUUAAUCAUUAGAUGAGGUCAGAUAUCCAUCAUGGAAACAUUAUUUGCCCUUAGUUUUGGUUGACUGUUUGAACCAGAAGAUAGUUCUCCACAUAAUCCACUCUCUAAUUGAACUUAAAUCCACGUAGUUUCCUCUUCUGUUUCUAUGUAAUACAGAUAAUUUUUGUAAUUCUAAGUCUCUAAUAUGGUAUUCAAUUUUACUUUACAAAUUUGUAUGUACCUUUUGCCGAAACAAAAUCCUUACUAAACUCAAGGUUCUGGAAUACAGGACAAGCCAAAUGGACCAAAUGAGGAAUGUUUCUCAUAUACAAGCUCAAACAGAGAGAGUUGGGGAAGAUGCUCUUCAUUGGGUAGCAAUGAUGAACCUUCAGCUGAUUGCUCCACUGCUGAUGACAACCAUCAGGUCUCUCUCUCUCUUAAACACACUCAACUGUACUUAUCUGGAUAUAGUUGCUAGAAGUUUAUUUUUUGUGACUAAUUUCAUUGGGAUAAAACAUGCCGGAGUAAUUCCACUUCCUGAGAUACUUAAUUUGUUUGAGUUUGAGGUUUACUGCUAGAAAUAAAGUGGUAAUAAUUGAUGCAGUGGCUGUUGUCUUUCUGGGAGGACCAAUAUAUUGGCUUCCAUAACCUGUGUCCUGGAGCCCAUAUUGUUUGAAUUACUGCUGGGCAGCAAGUAGUCUGAAGAAUCGAGUACAAUUAAACAAACUGCAUGAUUAGGUCUGCGUUAUUUGUCUAAACCUAACCAUCAGGACCGUAAAUCUUUCCUUUUUAUAGUCAUUUUUUUGGGGGAGGUAGGGUGGGGUGGGGGAAGGUGGUACGCAGGAAGAAUAGGGUUGUGGUUAAUUACACAAUAAAAUUAAAUUAUUGGAACUUAUCAGGAAAAAAAUAUAUAUGGAUGAUACUGCAUGCUUGGGAGGAGAAAAUUAUUGGAGAUGUAGAGGUCUUUCAAGUAAUGAGUAAUGACCUCUGUUAACAAUGAACCACAUUUACUUUUCUUUCUGUUGAUUUUAUUUUUGCUUUUCAUUUUCGUAUUUUAUCCAUUCACACACUGCAUCCCAAUUUGGAUGUUUCCGUCUAUGGGAAUUUCAUGCACCAAAAAGGAGUAAACAACACUCUGUGUUCCCCUAUUAUGCCCCAUUUUGCACUUUGCAUCCCCAAUCAUAAAAAAUAAGAGCUUUGCAUCGUGACAAAUCACAUUCCAAACAAAAAAUCGUUAAAUAAGCUAACAGAGUUACACAUGGGCAUCAUACAUGUUAUUUUAAUGGGCGAAAACCUCCAUACACCUUAUUAUAUGAUUAUAUUUGUAUUUAAAUAUAAAAAUAUGUUAAGGAAAUAAAUAUGUUUUAUUUAUUCUUUUUAUCCACCUUCAAUGAACUAAAUUUAUCAACUAGUACAUAUGUAAUUUUAAAAAAAUAAAUUUACCAACUUAAUGAAUAUUUAUUCUAUUAAACCACUUUUAUUAAACUAAAUUUAUCAAAUAAACACACUUAUAAUUAUUAAAAUUACCAACUAAAUAAAUAUUUAUUUUGUUUGACAAUUUUUAAUGAACUAAAGCAUGGAAUGUAGACCAAAGUAGAUAGCCUAGUGGUAAGACUUCUCCAUUUAUUGUGCAUGGUCACAUGUUUCAGUCACCCAUCAGAAGAUAGAAUGCAAUAGGCGCUACAGAAGAUUUCCUCUAGGUUCCUCCCUCCUUAGUUCUUCUCCUGGUCCCUUCUCCAGGCUCUCCGAUGAAAAGUAUCCCUAAACUUGAAUUGUAAUAGUAUAGGUUCUCCAAAAAAAAUGUGUGGGAUGUAAAGUGCCUAUAUUUGAAAUUUGGAAUGCCGAGUGCAAAAUGGGGAUUUUGCUCUGAUCUAAUAUGCUCCACCAAUUGCGAUCAUGGAUCAGUGAUUUGAUUCAUCAUAUAAUAGAUCAUGAUUUGCCCCACUAUCCACCUGAUCAAAAAAUGCAGAUCAUGGUCCAAAUCCAUUUAAAACAAUUUAGAAUUUUUUUAUUUGUAAAAUGUUAAUAUUUAUAAAAUUAUAUUAAGUUAUUCAAAAUUCAUGCUCUCUCUAAAACUUUUUACUUCUCUUUAAUAUUUUUAAAAUUUCUCUCUAUAAAAUCUUCUUACUAUUUACAUUAAAAAAAUUCGUUAAUCUCUUUAAAUCUAUUUACUCUCUAAAAAAUUACUUACUAUACAUAAUUUUAGAUAUAAUUUCUUUUUUUCCUAUUUUUUAUUGGGUGUAUGCAUGUAUUCUCUAGUGUUAAUCCUUCUCUUUUCUUCCUCACUCCGAGUGCUACUGUAGGACAUAUGCAAUCCAUGUAUAGUUAAUUAUUACUUUAUACAAACAACAGUUAAUAUAUACAUGUAUAUGUACUACUUAAUGUGAUUAUCAUUGAUUUAUUUCUGAACAUUUUGGGUUUGUAAUUUUUAUUUGCAGAUUUGUAAAACAUUUGGUUUCUCAUCUUGAGACAACUGUGUCAAAAAUAAUUGUACUGAGCAAAAAAGGUUCAGGAGCUUCAAUAAUGGAUGAAAAGUUACCUAAACAAAUAAUAUAUAUUAGGGCUAUGUUUGUUUGCAAGAAUUAUAAUCCUGGGAUUAUAAUCUAUGAAAUUAUAAUCCCAAGACUAUUAAUCCUAUGAUUAUAAUCCCGGGAUUAUAAUUAUAAUCUCAAGACUAUUAAGUAAUUUUAUAAUCCCUAGACUAAUAGUCCUAAGUUUAAAUUUGAAAACAAACAAGACACUUGAGUUAAUAGUCUUAUCCCAAGUAUAAUUCUUGCAAACAAACAUAGCCUAGGAAUAUAGUGGGAGGAGAAGGAGCUUGUGAACAAGUAAUAGACAUUGCGAGUUUUAGAGAGAGGUUUCUUCUGACAGAAAACAAUCUCACAUAAACAUUUUUACCGAGUUUUGGAUCGGCGGGUCAGAUCAAAUCUGAUCCAUUUAGAAUUUUGAUUCAAUAAAUUAAAAAGAUAACAAAUCAAUUGAUCAAAAGUUCAAUAAUGGAGCUCUGAUCCAAGAAAAGAAGUUGAUUCAGAGCAAACCAGGGUCAUGAUCUAACUCAUUGUCAGACCUAAAUGGAGCAAAAUAGGGAGAUGCAAAUUGUUAUUUACUCCCAAAAAAAUAAUAAUAAUAAUAAUUGUGACGUGUUACACGGAUUCUUCACUUUGUCCUAAAGUACUCAUGUCCAACACUCAACACUCGAACAAGGGUAUGGGUACGUACUGGCCACUGUAUUUUAGUGUAAAAUUUUUGUAAAACUAAGGAUUACCCAUGUCAAACUCUUCAAAAUAUUGUGUCUAACUAGAUACUCUAUCCGAGUCCGUGCAACAUAGAAAUUAUAUACAUUCUAAAAACUCUCAAUAUUAAACCCAAGUCCAAUUUUAUCUAUUUUCAAAGUUGGGCUGAAAUCGUAAUUCUGUAAGUUCAAAUCUAAAAUCACAAUGUUUUGGGUCGGGGAUAUUAUUAAGCUUUGUUAGUUUUGAACGAACUUGAUGAGCUACUAAUAGUUUUAUACCCUUGCAGGUUACCCUAAAGAUGCUUGCAACGCCUCUUCGGAACAUUCAAUACAAGUCGUUAGAACCACAGAAAGAGGAAAAGAGGAAGAAGAAGGAUCCGACAAUUGUUAAAAAAUCCAGACAUGAGAAAUUUGAGGCCCUAAGCCAACGUCUGCACCUUGGCAUUCUGAAACGAGUUAGCCAUAGGGGAAACCAUUCAUCAUGAUCCUUUAGUAUCAUAGGGUAAAACAAUAGCUUUAAUUCCUAUUUUCUUCAAUUUUUGUUACUUCCUUCCAAUCCUUGUAAUAGCUCCACCAAGUAUGCAAUUUUUUAUUUUAUUUUUUGAUAUGAUUUGAAAUAGUAUUGUCUUUAUUUUCUUGUGGUCAACUUUUAGGCACCAAUGUUAAUAGUUGUUGAUCCGGCAAUAUGCUGAAAAUCAUUGAACAUCACAAGAGUUGUAGAUCUUGAAUCUCAGAAAAUAGACGCAUCUUGUGGGUUAAAAACUACUUUUGGUGGUUCUUGGCAAGUCAAAAAGGCUAUAGUUCUGCUUCACUUUAUAGGACACGGAUACAGCCUGAAGGCAAUUUGGCUAUUGUUUUGCUACUAUAAAAAUCCCUUGACACCCAACUACAACAGGCCAGCAAAAACUGAAUACAUAAAUACUGUGUUGAAUCUGUUGUUCAAAGACCAACAAAGAAGUACCAAAGUUAAUAUUUGAAAUUCAAGGAAUCCACAUUUAUCACAAGGAAUUCAGAAUAUUCAAGAGGUUGGUUCUCAAAUCCAAUAUUCUACCAACAUAUAAAACAAAAUGGGUUCUUUAAUCUAAUGAAAAAUAUGUACCAACAUAAAAAGAAAAACUGGAACCCCAGAAAUGCAAACCCACAAUACACCUAAGUGUAAUGAUUAAACUACUCUUUAAUCAGGAAACUGAAUGUGGUUGUUGAUAAGGUGGGCUUAAGCUCGACUCUAGUAUCUGGUGGGUAAGCGCCACUUCUGGUUUUGCAUAAUCUGCAGGGAUAAUCACUCGUUGCUUCUUCAGUGACUGCUCAUAAUUUAGGCUUUCAACAAGAGAGAUCACAUGGCAACCAGAGUCUGGUGUUAGAGGUUCGUGAUGAGAAGAAAAGGAUUCAUCAACAGAAAGGACUGGAGCACAUUCCUUGAUAGGCCUAUCCAGGAAUGGAGACUCAGAAAUUGGAGCUGGGGUGGCUGGGUCAGUCUUAUUGUCUGAUUCUGGCCAGUUGUUGCCUGAUAACAGGGCAUAUUCCCCAGAGCCAGGCACUUCUGAGAGCACCCCACUGAGUCACUGCUGCUCCUCAAUUAUCUUCUUCAAAUACUUUCCUUGGGCUUCUAUCCUUAACUGCAGCUGUCUUUGCACCUGUGUAUUUGUAUACAAGGAAUUUCUCAAGUAAAAAUCUGCCUCAUGGACAUUGAAGCCUAAUACAAAUUGGGAUCACUUCAAUUAAAAUGAAAAUAAAUACUCCAAAUUCCUGACCCAUUGUCAUACAAGUGUCGGUUGCAACAUGUUACAUUACACUUCCAGGCAUGUAGUUCCAAUCACAUAUAGCAGCAGAAGAAUGAUAUGCAAGUAUAAAGACAUGUCUAUCAUUUUGUAAGCUUCCGUUUUCUCUCUUCUAAGGCUAUGUAUUUCUUGCACCAGCCUAAUAGAGUAGUUAGCUGGCCUAAGUAGUGUUGUUACCAGUUAUUAGUUAGUUGUAAGGGGCUAUAAAUAGUGGAUGGAAGUUAAGUGCAAGUUCAUUGAGAAUUGUAUUGUUUUUCUUUUCCGAUCUUGUAACAGAAUUUCCCUCUAGCUUCUGCCUUAUCUCUCUUUCUUUCUCCAACUCUUUGACGACGGGUCCAAAGCCAAGAAGAAAAAUCUAUUUAUUUUAUGAAAGUUUUAUUAUGUUUAAUGUACGAGUAAUUGAUGUAAUUAUUUAUUUAUUAGCUGGGAUUUCAGACAUUUAAUAGUGAUUAGGAUUUUAAUAUUUUAGUAAGGUUAUUUUAGUCUUUUAGUUAAUUUAUUGUUCUCCAAGUAAUAUUAGGGUUUUGAGUCUAUAAAUAUUGAUGUAAAUCCCCCACAAGUUAAUUAGGCUACAGAUUACAGAAUAUUAAUUAUUGAAUGAAGGAAUUAGCUAUUUUCCUCUCUUGUGCGGUUGAGAAACCCUUGGGGUAGUGGUGUGCAGAGCAUCACCCAAGACCAAGUAUAAAAUCCUUGGGAUAGUGAGGUGCGAAGCCUCACCCGAGUUAAUUUCCAUUGUUUUACCAAUUUUGUUCUUCAAAUCUUGUCCUACAUCACUCUCCCAUCUCAAUCUUUUCUCUGCAUUUCUCUCCCCCCUAAUCUACAUAAAUUCCAAGCAAUCUGCCAUAUCACAAUUCUGAAGUGUCUGACAAGUAUAGCAGGCUUUCCUGCGACUGAUCAUUUCGACCUUUUCUGUGUUAGAUCCAGAAAUUACUCCAUCUUCAGUUCAAAUUGCAAUUCGAUGAUUCUGUGAUUCAGUUCAACAGCAUCAACAAGACUUGGGCUAAUUAAUUACUCUAAUUUUUUUAUUUAUUUUAAAUCAUGGGUAUUCGAACAUCUUAUAGCAUUUUUGAAUAAUCCCUCAUUCCCUUGGGUACACGUCCGCCCACAAGAUCUUUGCAUAGGGAAAAUCCAAGCAUAAGCUUGUGUGGGUAGUUGGCAAGAUUUGAUCAUGUGAGCUUUCCCUUAUAAUGGUUGAGCACAUGCCACUGAACCAACCCCUUGGGGUUAGGCUAACUAACUACCCAAUUAAGUUAGUGUGACAUUAUGUUGAUGAUUUUGUAUUCCCAUAAGGCUUCUAGCAUUGAUAUUUCACACCCCAAGCAAAGAAUGAGCAAAUAAGAAUACUCAUGUUAUAACAAUCUUGCAGGCUGGAAUGUCAUAGCUUUUCCUACAUCAUCUUAGGAACAAAUUUUCCACACAGAUUUCUUCCCAAAUUGAUCAUUGCUUACAUUAACAAGUCAUUUUAAAUACCCUCCAAUGUUGUACAUUAACAUUAUGAAUGUGGACCUUGAACCAGAUAAAAUGUGUCAUUAACAGCCCAGUAACAAGGCUUCUCUGGGUUGGAUAACUCUCAACUAACAACAUAGCUGAAGCUACACAUUUUAAUUUAUUUUUAAAAAAAAAAAAAAUCAAUGUAGCUGAGGCGAACUACGGUGCAUCUUCUCAAAGUGGAACAUGUAAUAAAGUUCUUCAAUUCCUGGACUCGAUUGUAGAGAGGUAGCCACUUGGGCCCUUGCAUAGUCCAACUUUGUGUAGUCCUAGUAGAUGCUUAUUUAUUACUUAGGCUAGUAAGAAUGCAAAAUUAAAUAGGUAUUCUCAUAUUUCUAAACUAGUGAUAUUUUGGUAAGUAUUGUUUACAUGUGCCAUAUUUGUGAUUUGUAUGGGAUUGACAAAAGACUUCACUGAACCUGGAUAAGAUUCAUUGUACAAAUAAAAGGCUAAAAACUCAGGAUCUAAGAUGAAAAAUAAAAUGCUCCUCAAAAUAUCUACAUUCUGCAAUUUCUCUCUCCAUAACCAACCACUUACAAUGGCACUGCUAGAAGAUAUGAUAUGGUUUCCAUAAUUAUAGUUGGUCAUAUCCCAUAAUUAUUGUGUAUACAUAGCUGUAAUUUGUGAUUACCAUAAAUAUACUUGUGUAUAUUAACCAAGUAAUUGAGAUGAAAUUAGGAAGGAAUUACAUGGUAUCAAAACUUGGUCCUUAUUUUUCAGAAAAACACUGUUCGUCGACACUGUUCAUCAGUACUGUUCAUUGCCACUGUUCAUCGGUACUGUUUAUUGGCUCUGUUAUUAGUACUGAGAUUCCCACCCCGCUUCAUAACAAAGUAGUGCUAGUAGUGGGGUUCAUAACAAUAGUAUGGGACAACAAGCCGUUAGAAGCCAUACCCUUAAUUCAGCAUUGGUUCUCAGCCCCUUCAAACUGGAUGGAACCAACUAUUUGGCAUGGUCCCAAGCGUGUCGUAUGUCAAUUGAGGCUAAUCGUUCUUCAUCAAUGGAACAACUACUAUGCCUGAAAAAUCAGGUAUGGCCCAAAAAAAUGAAAAUCUAAUAACUCCAUGGUGAAAACAUGGAUUUUUAAUUUAAUGGAACUGAGUAUGCGGAGUAGUUGCAUGUUUUUAAACACUGCCUAUGAACUUUGGGAGGCUAACUCUCAAACUUUCUUUGUUUCUGGUGAUAUGUCAAAGGCAUUUGACAAUCGUAAAAGAAUCCGUGAGCUGGGUCAAUGGGAGAAGACUGUGGCACAGUAUUUUGCGGAGAUUAAUGCUCUUUGGCAGGAGCUUGAUCAUUACCUGGUUUUUUCAGCCAAAUGUACGAAAGAUGCAACAGCUUAUCAAAAGUUUGUUAGUGAAGAUCGAGUUGUUGAUUUAUUGGUUGGUUUGAACAUAGAAUAUGAUCAAGUUCGAGCACAGUUGAUUGAUCAGACACCUUUUCCAUCACUGCGAGAGGCUCAUGCUAGAGUCCAGCAAGAGGAAAGUAGACGUCGAGUGAUUGUUCUAAAUUUAAAUCUUGUUGAUCAAUCAAUCAUGGUUGCUUCGUAUCCUAAGCCUGGCUUCUCCAUUCAGUCUCUUGUUGAGGAGUCCCGCGAAUGUAAUUACUGUGGGAGAAAGAAUCAUACCAAGGAUUGUUGCUUUAAGCUUCAUAGGUGUCCUAAAGGGCGUGGAGGUCGGUCUAGUCGUGGAUCCCAAGCCUAUAUAUCUGCUACACCACUUCUUGUUGAUGCAUGCAGUACUUCAGAAACUACUACUGCACUCACUCCCAAGGAAAUCUCAGCUUUUUAAAAAUUCUGUUCCAAAUCUACUUCUUCUCAUUAUGCCCAAUCAAGUAUACAUUCUUGUGAUUUUCAUAUUUCAUCAACUUGCCCUAGUUGGAUCAUAGACACAAGUGCUUCCAAGCAUAUGACCAGGUCCUCCAACUUCUUUACUUCAUACACGCCUUGCUCCGGAAAAGACAAGUUUAAGUAGCUAAUGGUUCCCUUUCUUUUAUCUCUAGGAGUGGUUCUGUAGUUUGCACUCCUUCAUUAACAUUAUCAUUUGUUCUUCAUAUUCCUUCAUUUAUUGCAAAUUUAUUAUUUGUCCAACGUCUUUCUGAAUCUCUACACUGUUCAGUAACUUUUUUCCCAACUCAUAGUGUUUUUCUAGACUUGGUGACGGAACAGAAGAUUGGUAGUGGUAGUGCAGUUGGUGAUCUCUAUUAUUUAGAUGUUCUCUCGUCUAACAUGUUCUCUACUCAGGCUCUUCACUCUACUUCUGACUCCAGCCUGAGCUCUCUUCAUCAAUUACAUCGACGUUUGGGACAUCCUUCUUUUUCGUUAUUUCCAUCUUUGGUUAAACAAAGUAAUAAAACUCAGUUUUUGUGUGAACCAUGUGAAUUGGGUAAACACAAACGUUUUACUUAUUUCGCUAUUAACAGUUGACGUUCUGAGUCUUUUGCUAUUAUACAUACUGAUGUGUGGAGAUCCUCUCGGUUGUUUCCCUUUCUGGUUUUAGAUGGUUUGUUAGCUUUAUUGAUCGUCAUUCUUGUGUCACUUAGAUUUAUCUUAUGCGUUCCAAAAAUGAGGUUAGAUUGUUUUUAGGAAUUUCAUAAAAUGAUUCAAACCCAAUUUGACGCUAAAGUCAAAAUUCUCCAUAGUGAUGAUGGUCGUGAAUAUAGUAAUAAUAAUGUCUUUGCAUCUUAUCUCUCUCAGCAUGGCAUCAUUCUUCAAACCUCCUGUGUCAAAACUCCAAAACAAAAUAGAGUGACGAAAAGGAAAAAUCAACACUUACUAGAGUAGCCCGCACUCUUAUGUUCACUAUGAACACACCAAAAUUUAUAUGGAGAGAUGUUCUGAUUGCUACAUUUCUUAUAAACAGCCUUACAAAAGUUUCGUCUCUUUUCUCCAACACAUUACAAGUCCCUCUCCUUAGCCUCGAGUUUUUGGCUAUGUGUGUUAUAUUCAUGAUAAAUCUCCCACUCGGAAAAAAUUGGAUCCCAAGGCUCUUAGGUGUGUUUUCAUUGGUUAUUCUCCAACUCAAAAAGGUUAUAAAUAUUAUCAUCCUCCUUCAAACAACGUAUUUGUCACUCAGGAUAUAACUUUUUGGGAAUCAAAACAUUUUUAUUCUUAUUCCCCUUCUCCUCAGGGGGAGGAUGUUAUUGAUGAGAAGUUUUCUCUUGAGACUGGUAUUACAAGUUCUACUAUACCAUCUUAUCCUAUAAAUUCUUCUCCUGCUCCUAUUGUUGUUUCUGAUACAUCUACACAGGGGGAGUCACAGUUACAGGAGUCAUAUGCUAGACAGAAUGAGCCUGAGUUGAAGACCUAUGCUCGAAGAGGGAAGAAUAAGGUCACCGUUUAUGCACCACUACACCAACCCUACUCAGAACCUAGUAUUGAUAAUGCUAAUGGUGAGAAUCCUAAUCCUACUUGUUCUUCUGAUGAUACUGACCUUCCUAUUGCUCUUAGAAAAUAGGUUAAAUCUUGUCAUCAACAUUCUAUCUCUAAUUUCUUAGCCUAUGAUAAAUUAUUUGCAUCUUACCACUCCUUCUGUUUCUUCUUUGUCCUCAAUAUCUAUUUCAGGGGUGGAGAGAAGCAAUUAGUGAUGAGAAUUGAAAACAGGCUAUGAUAAAAGAGAUGAAUGCCCUGAAAAAGAAUGAUACAUGGGAACUAGUUACUCUUCCUUACGGGAAAAAACCAGUUGGUUGCAAAUGGGUAUAUACAGUCAAACAGAAACCAGAUGAGACAGUUGAGAGACUCAAAACCAGACUAGUUGCAAAAGGGUAUACUCAGACCCAUGGAAUUGAUUACCAGGAGACAUUUGUUCAUGUGGCGAAGAUGAACUCUGUUCGUACCAUAAUUUCAUGUGCAGCAAACUUCGGCUGAGAUAUUCAGCAAUUAGAUGUGAAAAAUGUAUUCCUUCAUGGUGAUACAGAGGAGGAAGUAUACAUGAAAUACCCCCUAGUUUUGCUUCAUUUGCCACCAACGGUAAGGUUUGUAAGCUGUGAAAGGCUUUAUAUGAUUUUAAACAAUAUCCCAGAGCCUAGUUUGGUAGAUUCCACAAAGCAAUGAUAAGAUUUGGGUACAAGCAGAGUCGAGCAGAUCAUACUUUAUUUGUCAAACAGAUAAAAGGUAAUAUUACCAGUCUUAUUGUUUAUGUUGAUGACACUGUGAUGACAGGGGAUGAUAAAGAAGAGAUAGUUAAUCUCAAAGCAAGUCUGGCCAAAGAGUUUGAGAUCAAAGAUCUUGGUCCUUUGAAAUAUUUUCUUGGUAUUGAAGUUGCAAGAUCUUCUAGUGGAAUGUUUCUAUCUCGAAGGAAAUAUGUAGUUGUUCUUUUAACAGAAACUGACAUGUUGGGAUGUAAGCCUGUUAAUUCUCCUAUUAAAGUUAGUCAUCAUCUAGUAGGUGGCAUAGGACCUACGGUUGAUAAAGAAAGAUAUCAACGUUUGGUGGGACGAUUGAUAUACCUUUCUCAUACUAAACUUGAUAUUUCUUUUGUUGUGGAAAUAGUGAGUCAGUAUAUGCAUGAUCCUCGACAUUGUCAUAUGGAAACUGUCUAUAGAAUUCUGAGGUUUCUCAAGUCUACUCCCAAGAAAGGCUUAUUGUUCGCACCACAUGGUCAUAUAAGAGUUGAAGCAUUUUCCGACUCAGAUUGGGCUGGCUCUAUAGAGGUUCGUCGUUCUACUUCGGGUUAAUGUUCAUUUGUUGGAGGCAAUCUCGCUACUUUGCAUAGUAAGAAACAAUUCGUGGUGGCAAGAUCCAGUGCUGAAGCCGAAUAUCGAGCUAUAACCUUGGUUAUAUGUGAACUAAUGUGGCUUCGAACCUUGCUAGAAGAUUUGGGUAUUACAAUUAAAAGGCCUAUGCAGUUAUUUUGUGAUAAUAAGGCAACCAUUAGUAUUGCAAACGACCCAGUACAACACGAUAGAACGAAGUACAUUGAGAUUGACAGACUUCAUUAAAGAAAAGUUAACUAGUAGUCUUAUUUGCUUACCUUUUGUCAAAAUAGAGCACCAGCUUGUUGAUAUUUUGACUAAUGGUCUUAGUAGUAAGAUGUUUCAUCCAUUGUGUUUCAAGUUAGGUAUGCAAGACAUCUAUACACCAACUUGAGGGGGUGUGCUAGAAGAUAUGAUAUGAUUUCCAUAAUUAUAGUUAGUCAUAUCCCAUAAUUAUUGUGUAUACAUAGAUGUAAUUACAGAUUACCAUAAAUAUACUUGUGUAUAUAAACCAAUGUAUUAAGAUAAAAUUAAGAAAGAAUUAUAAACUUUUGUGAGUAUUCCUUUCUACAGGUACCAUAUGCCAGUGUUACUUCAAAUAUUGCUGCUGUUAUAUUUAAUUUUGUAUGCAACGCACAAGCUCAUGGCUACAAAAUUAGGAUAUGUAUCUUCCUGAAGAAACAAACCUUCGCAUUCACAAUGCAUUCUCUACAUGAGCACUCUAAUCAUUUAUGUGCUUAUGAACAAAAAAAGAGGAUUCAGAAAGUUUGCUAAUAAAUUCUUUGAACUAACAACUCAUACUCUGCAGAUAAAAACAAUGGGAUUACAGACAGCAUCAAAUAUAUUCUAAUACCCGUGGUUAUAUUGUCGCUGGUCCACCCAAAUAAUCUACACAAUCAAAGUUCUCAUGUAUCAUUAUAUUUACCUCACUGAUUUGAAUAUUUAGUUUUCUCUUUAGCAUAGUGAUAUCUAAAUUGUCAAUAGAGAUGAGCAGAAAGAGAAACCUGAAGGCAUAUACUAAAAAUGAUGACAAUUUACGUGAAGAAAAGCAUACCUCCAAUUGCUCAUGCAAUCGCUUUUGCACCUCCAUCUGCAGCUUAAGUGCUUCAGUGAUUUGCAUCCCACUGCAAAGAGAAAAUACACAGUUUCUCAGAUCAAGUAGCCUAUCAACAAACUAUAUGAAUGCAGCCAGAUGUUUCAUCUUAACCAAACCAUGAGACCAUUCAAAAGAGCAAAAGAGAAGGGAAAUGCUGGGGACACAGGGGGUUUUGGGAUAAAGGGAUCAAUCUAAUGCAAAUAAUUCUUCCACAAACUCAAAUCAACUAUAAUAAUUCACUGCAUAUAAUAACAAAAUACUUCCCUAUUUUAUAUACUCCUAAAAACCUUUCCUAACCUAAAUUGGAUUUUAAUAAGAUAACUGCCAAAAUUAUAAAUAAAGUAAAUUAAUUAAAUAAAACUUCUGUUUUAUUCUUUUAUUUCCAUGGGCUUUGAAAGCCCCUUAUAUUGGAUCGUCCUACAUCAGUAAAGCUGUGAUAACCCAGCAUGUGUGAUAUGUCAUUUAAAAAUGCUAUGCAUUUGCUUUCAGUUACUACAGCUCAUUUCUCACAAAAAGAAUUCGAAAAAGAAAAAGAAGAGGCAGAAUUACUUACGAAGAACCAUCCAAACUAGAAAGCAUAUCCCCCACUUCUUUCUUGUCAGCAUUUUUCCCUUGCAUUUAGCCAAAGCAUUAGAAAAAUUAUCUUACAAAUGGAAUAUCCGUCUUAAAGAAUCUUAAUAGACUAUUGAUGAUAUAAGGAAUUUUAUAUAACAAUAAAAGGUCAUAAACUGUGUACUUUUAUUUGCCAUCAUAGAAAAUGAAAAUAGAAAGAAAAUAUGAUAAACCUACCAUCAGACGUGUCUGGGAGGUACUUUACAAGCCGAUACUUCUGGAUGUAUAGCAGAAUUAGUAGAAGUACUUAUGGAGGCAAAAUUUGAAGAGAAUGAACCUUCGAAAGGAAGAUUUUUGUUGGGAAGGAUCAACAUGUACAUACCUGCAAAUGACUUUUGACAUGAUAAAUUGAUAAUCCUUGUACACCCAUGACUCUGAGCACACCUUUGGGAGUAGCCCCUGGGAUAUAGGGGAAAAUAAUUUUUACAAAACUUGCACGGUUAAGUAUAAAUUGAAAAAUAGAAGUCUUCAAUUUGUUGUCAUAAAUGGAAAAAAUUAAACAUCCUCAUAUCCUACCCAUAUAAUGCAUUCUGGAGGAAUUGGUGCACUGUGCAUUUUGGAGGAACUGGUCUAACUGCUUAAAAUGUAUUUUGGAGGAACUGGUCCAACUGCUUAAGUAGUUUAUUUCUCUAAUAUUUUGCACAAACCACCUCACCCAUUUUAUCCAACAAUGAAACUUGUUUCAUACAGAGGUGAUUUGUUGAAUUUGCAAGAUUUAUAUAGGUUCUUAUAUACUCUCUCGGUUCCUUUUUAUUUAUCUUUUUAGAGAGUGAAAAUUGUUGCUUUUUAUUUGUCGUUUGUAGAUUUCAAGGAAAUAUUAAUGACUUAGUUUACCAUGUUAUCCCUACAUUAAAUACUAAUUUGUUUCUCUUUCAUCUUUCCAAUGAAUUUUUAAUGGGUAAUAUUGAGAUUUUAUACUCAAUUUGAUCAAUCAAACAAAGCAUUAAUUACAUUUCUUAAUAUUUGUGUUUUCUCCUAAAAUGUCAACUAAAAAGGAAUGGAUGGAGUAGUUUAUACUGAUAAAUUAAUACGAUCGCUGCAAAGGUGCACCAAGGUAUAGAUAAAACACUUAACCUUCAACCAAUCAUUCCUAAAUAAAGUGAUGUUUAGCUGGCUCGUUACUUAAACCACAUAUUCUGUACUGUGAAAACUCAAACAUAUCCGUUGGAAAUUAGAGGGUCAACUCAAUCCGGUGGUUCCAAUGAAGCUGGCCGACACGGUUUGAUUAUUGGAUUUUCGGGAAAUUUUCCAUGCAAGCCUAAUUUUGAUUCUUAUUCAUAUUCGUUCUCCUAAUCCUUUUCUAUUAUCUUCUUAUAUUUGCAAAUCCAAGGUUCUUUUAGAAAUUAAAAUUUUUAUUCCGUCAACAGUUUUCAAUCAUCUUAAUACUAAUCAUUGUUGCAGAGUCCAAGGCCAUACAAACGCUUGUGCCCAAAUAUGUGUCAUGCAUAGUUGUUAAGUCAUAAAAUCGAGUCGAGUCGUUGGCCCGGAGCUUAAUCAAUCAGUCGACUAGGCGCUCGACUAGUCGUCCAUAAGUCAACAAGUCAUUUCCUAUGUACAAUUUAUACAUAUAAAUUUAUAUAUAUAUAUAUAUAUAUAUAUAUAUAUAUAUUUACAUUUAACAUUAUUAUUUCACAAUAUUCAAUACUAUCAAAUACUAUCACAAGUACAAAUACAUUAAUAUUGCCACAACCAAAGUCAAUCUAAACAACACAAAUAAGAUAAUGAAUCAAUUUUAUGACUAAAUAAAAUUCAAUUUUAUGAAGUUUCUUAGCAACUAGCAGCCAAGCACAAUACACAUAAGUUACUCUAUUUUCCAACUUAGUAGCAGCAACCAUCAUGACACAUACUGAUAUACAUAUAGAAUUAUGGAUUUUUUUUGUUGUUGCCAUUUUUAUAAAUUAAUCAGUUUAUAAAAGGUUAUUGUGGUCAAUAGAAUAAAUUUCAUAUUUAUCACAUGUAUAAAUACACUGGUUUUAUAAAUGAGAAAAAUUCCAUUAAUAAAAUAAAAGUACUCCUUAAAAACAAGUGAUAGCAGUACUAAAAUAAAGUUAUUCUCUAAAAACAUUAAUAAAUAAAGUUUCAUUAACAAUUGCGGAAGUAGGGGUCCAACAUAUGUAACCCAUCAAACAAACGAAAACCCACCAAAAGUAGAAACCCCAACGGUCCCUCAAAAGAAAACCCAUAAAAACGUGAAGAAAAAGUCGCAACAAAGAAAAGAGAAGAAGUCGCAACAAAGAGAAGAAAAAACGAGAAGAAAAGAACACACCAGAGAAGAGAAAAAAUCGUAGCAGGAGGAAUCAUGUAGCAGCACGGAAGUCUAAUUUUUGGUUGCGUCGCGUGGCAGCAGCGAGGUAACUUUUAUUCGGUCUGGGGUUUUAGGGCUCAUGGCUGAUUGGGUUUCAUCUCUCACCCUUUCUUUCUUUUAGUUCAAUGGGUCGGACUCGGCUGAUUGGGCUUUUUUUAAAACAUGGACCUAGCUGCUAAGUCGAUCGACUUGGCAGCAAAGCGUUGCCAAGGCGACGACUUUCGACGUCUUGCUACCAAGUCACUCGACUUAGUAGUAGUCCCCAAGUCGCCCCCUCGCCUUGCGAUGCCCAGCACGCUUGGACGACUAGUCGACGACUUAACAACCAUGGUGUCACGUGCAAACAAAGUUUAGAGUUCCAUGAGCACAUUUUUUUGUAUUGUCCUAUAGUGCGAAGGCUUUUGAAUUUUCUUUCUUUGAGAAUUUUGAGGAAACUUGGCUAUCCCCUUAUUCCUUGGAAAGUAUGCUUUUGGUAAGCUAUUGGGAUUUGGAAGACACAAGGAUGCCAAGAUUGUAUAGAUAUGUGCUUGUUUAUCUAUUUUAUGGGGCAUGUGGACCAAAAGGAACACUAGAAUCUUCAAUGAUACCCAUCUCUUUCUCAAUCUUCUUUGGACAGGUUCAUUUAAGCAUCACUUGAACUUCGAUUACAAGAGCUUUUAGAGGUGUUGUGAUUUUAGAUAUUCAUAAAGAUUGUCAGAUUGGCUGGUUGUCUUCAUAAUAUUUCUAUAUUUUCAUACUUCUAUUUCUCUGGAGGAGUUAUUUUCUUCCCUUUCUAUAAUCUUUCUUCUAUUUAUGAAAAUUUCUUCUUUUAUCCAAAAAAUAAAAACUUAGUUCCCCUCCCCAUAAUUGUGGGAGUCUUUUCAAUAUGGUAUUUAGUUACCAUAAAAGGAGUUGAAGUCAUGUGACUGAAUACAAUGGAGUUACUACUAGUCUUUUCAAUAUGGUAUUUAGUUACCUAGACGUGGGAUUGCCUCACUGACACUUACAACUACAUUGGCAUUUGGAACUUUGGAUAACUAGCGAUUGACACUUCGAAAAGCGAUCAGUUGACGAUUAGUUGCAAGCACAGAUGAGAGUUAUUAACGCUACUAGGGAGAAUUAUCUCACAGCAACCAACCACUGGUGCUAUUGGCAUGGGCCUCUACCUCUAACGUUAGUAGUGGAGACCCACCUCGAACAUCUGUUUCUUCCUCACUUUCCCCCCUUCCUCCCGUUUUUUGGGUUACAAUUUCUUAGUAAUAAUGGGUGACGGUAUUCUGCCUAAAUAGUAGACAGGUAACAAAUAAGAGAAUACUAAAUAUUUGAGCCAUAGAAUUUAUUGAUUCUGACACAAGCUACUUAUUAGUUAUUAGAUUUGACACAAUGUUCUUAUUAGAUCGAAUGUACUUAUUCAAUAUAAUAGAAAGAUUUGCUAUCAAUGCUUAAUUUGUUAAACUCAAUUCAGAUCUUGAGUUUGGACUCUAGAUUCACUUGGUAAUUUUUUCUGUUAGAGUUACUUCUCUUCUUAACUCGUUCUCAUAUCCCGAUUACUUAUUUUCCUUCAACAAAGAUACCCUCACAACCAAAGCAUUUAUUUUCUCUAUGGUUUUAGAAAGGUUAAAUACAAAUGACGUUUAUCAAGUGGACAGACCUCACAAGGCUCUAUCUCCAGAAAUUUUAUGUUAUGUGCCAGUAGAAUGGUGAGACAAACUCGUAUUUAUCUAUAAUUGUCUCGUUGCUUGAAGUUUGUGGAAAUCUAUCUGUCGAGAGUUGGGAGAGGAGUGUGUGUUCCAGCCUUGGCAAAGGAUUUGUUGCUAAUACAGUACGGUUUGGACUUUCUUUUUUUUCUUUUUUUUUNNNNNNNNNNNNNNNNNNNNNNNNNNNNNNNNNNNNNNNNNNNNNNNNNNNNNNNNNNNNNNNNNNNNNNNNNNNNNNNNNNNNNNNNNNNNNNNNNNNNNNNNNNNNNNNNNNNNNNNNNNNNNNNNNNNNNNNNNNNNNNNNNNNNNNNNNNNNNNNNNNNNNNNNNNNNNNNNNNNNNNNNNNNNGUGCAUUCUUCUGUGUUUGGGGGAUUUGGACUUAGCAAAAUACCCAGCUGUUCUGAAAUGGCUAUAUUUCUUUCGCUUUGUUACGAGAUAGGACUGCCAUGGGUGCCUUUAAUUAAGGGUAUCUCUGGGACUGGUAUUUGUAGAGACUGGAGAAAUGCCCUCUUCUGAAUUUUCUUUUGUUUUUGAAGUGAUGAGAAAUUGGAUAUAGACCUAGAAAGGGUUAAGUAUGGCAGUCCAAGUGAUCAGAGAUGCUUAUCCAUCUGAAAACGGAGUUAGUAUGGGGUGCUCUGAGUUUAUUAGUUGGUCUCGGGCAAACUUUAACUAGUUUGGAGUAGAGGUCCAAUAUUGCAUAUUUUUAAAAGGGAUAGAUGUCUCUAUGGCGGUCUUAACAGAUUUGGCGUAAAGCUCUCGAAUUGUAGGUAACUCUGAGGCGCAUGGUUUGUUGGCUGACAAUAGCAGGUUCGGUGGCAUAAACAUAGUUAGCAUUACAGGUUACAAUGUCAUUCUUGCUAUGGAAAAUAGGUCUGGUCAACAUAAUUUGGUCGCACAAUUGGAGCGGCCGAUCCAUUUUGAUUAAAUUAAUGACUUUGUUAGUUUGUCCCUCAAUAAUUGUAGGAAUUACAUAUCUUCAGAUUAUGGUAUUGGUUAUCAUAUUAGGAGUGAAAGACGUGUAUAUGACUAGAUAGAAUUGAAUCUCCUUUUUUUCGCCAAGUUACAAUUAAUCAUCCUAGCGGAUGAAUCAAGACAUGGGAGAGUUAGACGAACAAAAUGAGACACAUUUAUAUUUUAUGAUAUACCUUUGAAAGUUGCAAUUGAGGCUAAUCAGGGUGUUGAUAUUUGUAGUCAUGGUCGUCACUCAUUCCGAUCGUACUAUAGUUCAACCGCUAAAUUGAAGACUUGUUCGUGAUUGUAGCUGUUUCCACUUGACAUACGCUUAAUCAGGUAAACUAAAUCCUAUUAUUUAUUACUUCCACAUUUAUACAUGUUUUUGUUAUUCUACAUAAUCAAACAAAAGAAAUAAGUUGUACAUAAGAUAGAUAGAAAAACAUAUUAUUUCUCAAAUCUCAUUUUUAUUCUUACUUUGGAGGUGGAGAGAAAAGAAAGACCAAUAACAGUAGUAGCAAACAAGCUCAAGUUAGACAAGUAAAUUUUGAAACAACUCACUGUCAGGUCCACCCAGUUGUGCGACUGCAUCGACAAAUCUCUCAUGAAGCUCAUGUGUCCAACGCAAUCGUUGCUUAGAGGCUAGACUAGGAUUGUUAUUGAGACUGUUACCACCACCAAUGUCCAUUGUGCUCGCACCAAAAGUUGACGGCUGACUAAGGCCUACUUCAUUGUUGUGAGCUGGAUUUGAAAUAUGAACAACGUUUAGUUGAUACAUUUGUCAUUAAUCUAUAAACAACAAAUCAAGAGAGCCACAGGAACAGGAAAUUAACUUGAAGCAAAGUCCCAAAAUUCUACUACAACUUUAGAUUGUAGACAUGAGAUGCACCCUUGCUCAGACAAAAAUGGAAUAGGAGAAUUACAUACGCUAAAGCACCCAACGGCCAACAUACUAGAGAAGAAAAAAGGUCAGUGAUUAAAUAUACUUGCAACUAGAUGUCUCAUCAGUCUGUUCCAUAUUUCUACAGAUUCUAAUAUUCAUCACAGUUGAUUUUAGCCUUUUAAUUGGGUUAAGAUUUUCAAAGGAGAUACAGUUAGAUACUUAGAUAUGUUAACUCAUGGAAUUUUUUUCCAGUUCACUUGUCAUUCUCAUUUCUUUUCCUUUCAUUUCCCUUCCAUCACUCUUUCUAAAUGCCAAACAGGGAGCCCACAAAUGACAAUUAAAAAGAAACAUUGUAAAUAGGAUUAUAAAGGCAAUAAGUUUGCAGAAAAUUAGGGAAGGGAGUGACAUCUCUAUUUGCAUAACACUGGCAAGAAUUUGAGGGAUUUCCCAGUUGUAGAAAUAAUUUAAGUUACAAAAUCCUUAGCAGUUGACCAUAACAAGAGACAGGUGAACAACACCAGCAAAUAUGUACACACAUACUCACAAACACAUACAUAUAGAAAUAUAAGAUUGCAGAUAGAAUGAGGGGGGAACUCCAUGACCAAGUUGAGGAAACAUUGGAUCGUGUAAAUCUUAGCGAGAAUGGAAAGAAUACACACAUGUACAUACACACAGUCACACACACACGCACAUAUAUAUAUAUAUAUAUAUAUAUAUAUAUAUAUAUAUAUAUAUAUACAUGAAACUUAAAGGUACAAUUAUGAGAAUGGUUUGAAGGUGAGAAAAGAAUUAAUGUUAUAUUUCAUGUGCUUGAAAAUUAAGUAUGGUUAUUGAAGAAGAAUACUGAAUUAAAUAUGACACCCAAAAAAUGAAAGCAAAUAGGAAUCAGAACAGAUGUAUACCUACCUAAAAUGGUGAAGCUACUUUUGAGAAUGGAGAUGGAUUUGAAUCAAUGGAGAAGUAGUUUUUGGGAGAUCAAGAAGCUUUGCUCCGCUCUGUUCUGUUCUGCUGCUACUUUCGGCGUUUUAUUUUUGAGGAGUAAGACAAAUAGUAAACAAAAGAUGUUACUUUCUUCUCCUUUAUAUCGUCUCUUUUCCUCCUUUACUAAUUCUCUCUCUCUCUCUCUCUCUCUCUAUAUAUAUAAUAUAGUAUUGAGCAUGGUUGUUAAAUUCGGACGGGACUGACGGUUAAAAUCGGAACUUGUUGGCACUUCGGUUCCAAUUGAACCAAUUAAUCAGUUUUGGUCNNNNNNNNNNNNNNNNNNNNNNNNNNNNNNNNNNNNNNNNNNNNNNNNNNNNNNNNNNNNNNNNNNNNNNNNNNNNNNNNNNNNNNNNNNNNNNNNNNNNAUGCUAAUGUCAGUCUCAGCUGAAACACUUGCUCCAACAAAAAGAUGGUUUCUUUCUUAAUUUUUCAAUUUUCUUUCGUCUGUUUUGGCCUUUGAUGAAACAGGGGUGUGUGGAUGGCGAAGGAAGUCGCUCAAAUUUGGAAAGGGCUCUUGGGGGUCAUUGACAAAUGUUUAUAGUACCUUCCUUCACCAAAUGGCCCAGUCCGGAUCAGCUGUUCCGAAUAAUGUCUCUCCCGACCAAGAUAUUAUGUCAUGCUUGUUAUAAAAUUAUACAAGCAUACAAGCAUACAAUAUAUAUUUACAGCGAUACAAUAUAAAGAGUAAAGAGAAUGAUACGAUAUAUGAAAUACGCACAUUUACAUAAUUGAUUGGGAAAUCAAAGGAUAUAUAUUGAAAGAUCAAAGCUUAUAUCGCUAGGUGGAGGAAUACAUAGACAUCUAUUAUGUAUCAUAUUU
rnacentral:lncRNA from 1 species